GGAGAGAUGCCAGAGCGGUUGAAUGGAACAGUCUUGAAAACUGUCAGGGGGGAAACCUCCUCGGGAGUUCGAAUCUCCCUCUCUCCG
rnacentral:tRNA from 1 species